GUGAACUUAGCUCAGUGGUUAGAGCUUCACUCUUGAGUUUUGAGGUUGCAGGUUUGAUUUCUGCAUUGAGA
rnacentral:tRNA from 1 species